rnacentral:rRNA from 1 species
AGAGUUUGAUCCUGGCUCAGAACGAACGUUAGCGGCGCGCCUAACACAUGCAAGUCGCACGAGAAAGGGCUUCGGCCCCGGUACAGUGGCGCACGGGUGAGUAACACGUGGGUAAUCUGCCCUCGAGCGGGGGAUAACAUUCCGAAAGGAGUGCUAAUACCGCAUAAGACCACGCCUUCGAAAGAAGAAGCGGUCAAAGCUGGCCUCUAUACAUAAGCUAGCACUCGAGAAUGAGCCCGCGGAGCAUCAGCUAGUUGGUGAGGUAAUGGCUCACCAAGGCUUAGACGCCUAGCUGGUCUGAGAGGAUGAUCAGCCACACUGGAACUGAGACACGGUCCA